UAGCAUUGUCACAAGGGUGCACAAAUAC
rnacentral:piRNA from 1 species